AGAUCAGAAAAAACAAAAGCAUGGUUAACAGAGAGUUGAUAUUGACAUAAAUGAGGAGACAGAGCAAGAGCCACCCUGGAGGAAUUCUAGCCGCCUGGCCCAAGUGAACUCUAUCCUCAGGUACUAAAAGCAGUGGCGGGUGUGACUGCUGAGUCACUACCAGUAAUAGCUGGAAAACUGUGGAGAACAGAAGAGAGGAGUAGGUUGACUGCUGUCCACUGAGCAUGCCUUUGAUUCCCAGGGACCUCGUAGAAGGGAUCAUUAAUGAGAUGGCAGUUCAACACAAGAAGAAAAGGGAAGAUUUAGAGAACUGAUCUUCUAGACUCCUUCUAGAAUACAAUGACCUCUGUAGGAUGCCACAGCCACAGGAGGCAAGCCACUGGACCAAGUAUCCAGGAAUAUCAAGUCAUUAUUGCUCGCUGCCCACCCCCCAAGCCCUGGACACAUGGCUUCUAGAACACAGAACAUUAGACUUACUAUAGGCGGCCUUUGGGAUCACAGAGUCUAUAGCCCCCCUACCCACACCCCAACACACACACACACACACACACACACUUGGUGGAAGGAAGAUGGGAGGAAGAAACUGAAGCUCUGGGGGAGCCGGCCCUGUCUCUUCUCUGAUCAGCAUUUGGAAACAAUGGCUCAAGGGCUUUCCAUCUUCCAUCUUGACCUUCUCACAUCUAUUUGAGGGUUGUAAGAUUGGCAACUUUAGUAUCCAUCACCACCACAAUAACACACUGAGUGGAAAAGUAUUACUGUUGCAGCCAGGGGGAGGGCUGAGGGGGGCAGAAGAAGAGAGAAAGAAGCUACAAAAAGUGACAGAAGCUCUUGGCACUCCCCCUGCACAAGGAACUGGAGACAUUCCAAGGGGAACCUCAAGGUCAUGAGAACUGUUCUCACCUUUGAACCCAAGGAAGCUAAGUGAAGGAAGCUGCAGAGGAGAGGGGCCUCUGUCCCAACAAUGGACGGAUUCUCUCCUGUGGAUGAGCUGAUGCCUACCAGUAUGUACCCUGUCAAAAGCCAAACUUCAUCACAUUCCCAAACUGGAGCCUCCCCCUGAAUUCUUAAGUUUUUAUUAACAGAAUCACUAUUCUUCCCAUUCACCAUAGUUCAAAAAUUCAAGUCAAAUCACCUUUUCUUUGCCCUCCUCACUCCCAUCAACCAGUAGCUACAUUGUGUUUAUUCUAGCUCUGAGAUGUUUCUUAAAUUAGCCCCUUUCUGCCCAUAUCCAUUGUCAUCUCUCUAGCUCAAUUCUACUGGCUGUCUGCCUGGCCCUCCCCUUUGCCCUUGUCUUGAUCUCCCCUGUAUCAUAAUUAUUUGUGUACUUGUCCCCCAUUAACUCCUCAAAAGGGAGGCCUAUGUCAUUUUCUACCUCUGUAUCCCACAGGGCAUCCAGUUCAAUGCCUUAAUCGUAGAAGAAACUUAUUUAAGGCUUGUUGAAUUGAAAUGAACUCAGAUCUUUGAUACCUGUUCUCUUCUGAGCUACUGAAUAGACCUCCUGGCCAGUAUUCCUGCCUCCAGCCUCUCAUUCCUUCCAAUCUGUCCUACACACCAAUGCCCAACUAGUCUUCUUACAUCACCAUUUUGAUGAUGAUCUGCUCCAAGGGUUUCUCACUGCAUCCAGAAUAAAAUUCAAGCUCCUUAUUUUAUUUUUACCUCUCUGGAUUGCAUUCUAAAAUUUCAAGGGGGAAGGGGCCUAAAUGAUCUCCGAGUUGUGUCUCAACAUUGACAUUGUAUGGUUCCAAGAAUAAAAGCUCUUUGGAAAUGUUUAAGCACUACUUUGAAAAUUUGCUAUCAUCA